rfam:Bacillus smithii strain DSM 4216, complete genome.
CAACCAAUUUAGCGAUAGAUUGCUGAACCGUCAGAAGUCAGCAGAAGUCAUAGUACAAAUAAGGUCGCUCCUUAUUUGGAAGGAC